GGGUGUUGUUUGAUUGAAGAAUUAAAUUGUAUGAUAACUUACCACUGAAAGAUAUUUUGAUAAUUUUUAUCAAAUUCUAUCUCUUUUGGAUAGUCAUAACAUAUUGCUAGACAUCAAUCUUGACUUGUGGACUCAUAAGAAUUAAAAGAGUUUAAUUCGAGAAUUAAUUAGGAAGAGUCCUAGUUAAUUGAGAUAUUUGGACUGACCUAGUCUAAUUGGAUUAGGAUUUGAUCAAGAGCUUGAGUCC
rnacentral:lncRNA from 1 species